GCGGUGGUAGUUCAGUGGCAGAAUUCUCAUCUUCUGUGCCGGAGACCUGGGUUCUAUUCCUGGCCACUGCC
rnacentral:tRNA from 1 species